rnacentral:rRNA from 1 species
UACAGAGGGUGCGAGCGUUGUUCGGAAUUAUUGGGCGUAAAGGGCGCGUAGGCGGCGCCACAAGUCACUUGUGAAAACUCUGGGCUCAACUCAGAGCCUGCAAGCGAAACUGUGGUGCUGGAGUAUGGGAGAGGUGCGUGGAAUUCCCGGUGUAGCGGUGAAAUGCGUAGAUAUCGUGAGGAAGACCAGUGGCGAAGGCGGGUCUCUGGACAGUUCCUGACACUGAGGCACGAAGGCCAGGGGAGCAAACGGG